GCUUCGCUAGCGCAAUUGGCAGAUGCGCUUCAUUGAGUAUGAAGAGGUUCCGGGUUCGAAUCCCGGGUGAAGCA
rnacentral:tRNA from 2 species